GGUACAUAACUUGCAGAUAUUGCCGCUUGUGAAGUUCGGCCACAUUCAACUGUCUGCAAAUUUAAACAAAAAAAGGAAAUUAGCAAGCAAACUUCACAUGAAUAAAUCAAUUCGGUUAAUUAUUUAGCAAACGCAACGCGUAAGUUUUGCAUGUCUCAAAGCGACAAAACGUUUCGUGAACGAUCAAAUACAUACAAACCGCUGCAGCUACAGUUUUAACAGUUGUUGUUGCUGCCGAUUUGCGAAGCGACAAAGUGCUCGUGUGUGCGUUUUUGAGCGUGAGUGUCAGUGUGUGUGCGACAGUAUGUGCGUAUAUUUGUGUGUGUGAAGAUAAUUUAGUUAGAGGUCAUUUCUAUGCGUAAGUCUUUGCAACAUGCGGCGGCACCCAGUUGUUGAAAGCGGGACCAUCGUCUUCACACAUCACACGAGCCACAACAACAAAGGACGUUUGCAGCUGUACGCCUACGUCCACGCCCACUUCGAAGCGUGCAGCAGCAGCAACGCCAGCUUUGUUUUAUAGUACGCGCAGCCAUGCCAACAACAACAACAACAGCAGUAAAAUCCACUGAAGAAGAAGAAGAGGAAAAUUGCGAUACGCCAAUGGCGUCUGCUACUACAACAAGAACAAGAACAUCGGAGGAGCAGCCACAACCACCAUCGUUGCCGUCAGCUGCGGCGUCGCCCUCAGAAUCGCUGCAGGCGUCAACUACUGAUGCAAUGUCAAAGGCAGCUGCGCGGCCAACGCCAACACCCUCACUGUUGCCUCUGCUGGCGUCGGCUGCCGCUUGCAAUAAACAGUUACUGUUCUGCCGGCGUUUUAAGGAUGCGUCCGCUGGCAACGUAGACGGUGCUAGCUUUUUACGUAAUUUCAACUCAUUGCCGUUAUUCGUCUACGCAACGUCACCGUCGACGCACGCCAUUUCAGCAGAUGGCGUUGGCGUUGCCAAGGAAGCAGCAGCCGCUGCUGCCGCUGCGUCGGCGUUCAGUCAAAAGAAUGACGGUUUUGAGCUACCCGCAACGCAUGGCACCUGCAAAACAGACGGCAGCUGCAUUAGCCCACACAGAAGCAACAACAACAGCAAUAGCACCAGCAAUAGCAACAGCAGUGGUGGCCACACACGCAUCACAGACUUGGCCAGCGGCGCCAUGGAGUGCCUGCCAUUGAGCGGCGGAGUUGUCACACAUCAUCCGCAUCUGAUGGCGACGAGUGGGACCGGCGGCACGGUGGUUGCCUCGCCAACGGCAACGGUUGUCGUGGGCGCCACAUAUCCACACCAUUUGCACCACCAUCACUUGAGCCACCAUGCGCCGUAUAGCAAUAGCUAUGGUAGUCAUCCGCAUCAUCCCAUACACAGCGAGCAGACCAAGUCGCUGCAGGAGCUGCAGCACGAGGUGGGCGCUCUGUUGGAGUUCAGAGAUCUGGUCAUUGAAACGUUUCCCGAUCUCAAGCAUAAAAUGGCCUCAAUGUCCGCCACGCCGUCGACACCGAACUCUGUGACUGCGCUUGGUGGCAGUCACUCGGUGGGCGGCAACAGUGGAAAUGGUGGCAGCUCCUCGUUAGCAACCAGACGUGAGUGGGAGCCUGGAAUACGCAUAAAGCGCAAGUUGUCGCACAAGGAACCGUCCACGACAACGGCCGCUGCAGCAGCAUCCGCUGGAGUUGAGCCGUCGUCAUCGUCGCUAACGCGCAGCCGCAGCAACUCGCACAGCGGCAAGAAAGAGCCAAAGAGCGGAGAGAACAACAACGGCAGCGUUGUGCAGGACUCCGGCUUCUCAACGGAGACCAGUUCCUCCAAGGAGGGACACAGUGCCUCCUCCACCAACGGUGCAAUGACGGUGGCCAUAGCAUCGAAUCGUCUGAGUUGCGCCGAGUCGGAUGACGAGCUGCUCAACCUGCUUGAUGUCAUACACCGCAAAUCGAAUCGUUUACGCGAGGAGGUCGAGCAUCUGCAGAGCUACGAGCGCCACCAGGGCGAUGCAGCCAAGGGCCAAAAGAAUGCGAAUGGCAUGACGCCGCAGCAAUUCCGGGAGCAGGUGGAGCGACUGAAUCGCGAAGAUAUCAAACAGUUGCGAAAGGAACGCGAUCGUCUGCUGGAUAAGCUGGCCGAAAUGGAGGCGGAGACGUUGACGGGCCGCAUCAAGGCGGCUAAGAUGAACGAUCAGGUGGAAGAGUUGAUUAGCGUUAAGAAAGAUCUCGAGGAGCAGCUGAAACUGGCCAUGGCUCAAAAGCUGGAGCUGAGCUCGCGUGUGCAGCAGCUGCAGUUGCAGCAGCAACAACAACAACAGCAGCAGCAGAGCAAAAGCUCAUCCAGCGCCAGCCAGUCAGAGUUCUCCAGUCAACGCAACUUCUUAUCCUCGGCGACGACGGUGCUCUCGAACAGUAGCCGGCCCAGUCUCAGCAGCAACAACACAUUCCAGCCGGUUGUGCUCGACCAGCAGCAACAGCAGCAGCCAGCGCCGGACGCAUUCCAUCAAAGCUCAGGUAGUGAUACAGCAACAGCGAGAAGGCAACAACAGCCGCUGGGACGUUUGGAUGGCGUUGUCAGCACGCCCGGCGCCCGAAACACCAAAUGCCGCAUUACAGACUCCAAGCGCUUCUCGGCCAUUCUGUUGGAAACGAAUGUGCUGGAGCUGCAGCGACAUUUGCUCACGCUGACUGUGCAAAAUCAGGUGCUGGCCCAGAAGCUGGAAUCGUCCAGCAAGUCAAAGUCGCUGCUGUCGAAGCGGCUGGACAAGAGUGUCGAGGAUACGGAGGAGCUGCGCUUUCAGCUGGAGGAAAAGAACAUCGAGCUGGAGGGCACCAAGGCGCAGCUGCGCGUGCUGGAAUCCCGGCUGCAUAGCAGCAGCAGCGCCAAUUCGUAUUUGAACUCGUCUCAGCAUGAUUACGAGACAAAUCGCUCUUCGGCUUCCACCACACUGAUGCUCAGUCGUCGCGGCGUACCCGAUUCGGUGGACUCAGCAUCGGCAUCGGUGUCGGUGGCCCAGCCCCGAUCCGAUCAAAUAAGCACGCCCAGCAUGAAGGCCAUGGUGCCGCUGGCCAUGGAUGAGCUGCAGCAGCACAGCAGCAGCACUGAAUCCGCGCACGAGCAUGAACCGGAACGCACGCCCAAUGACUCGACGCAGAGCAAGACAAUGGUGAACAGCAGUCCCAGUCCGCUGGUCAGUAGCACGCCCACCGCGACCGCCGGCAGCAGCAUUGCGGCGCGUGUCUUGAGCUCCAGCGUGGGCGGGGUCAGUCCCUUUGAGGCGACGCCGUUGCGCAGCCACGGCUUUCGCAAAUUCAACAGCGCCAGCAAGCCGAGCAAAAUACCGUUGCCGGGCAGCAAGGCGGCCGCCUACUUUGCGGGCAAGCCGCCCACGGGUCGGCCGUCCACGGCAGGUCGAUCACCGCCCUCGGUGCAUAACUCCAGUAAUGUGUCGUAUGGGAGCAGCAGCAAGUCUUCGCUGAGUCGCAGCACCGGCAACCUGAGCCAGAGCUUAAAGCGCGCCGACUCUGUCUCCAAUCAUUCACUGAGCACGAACACGAGCCGCAGCUCAACGUCAUCCUCCAUACCGUUGGCCACCACACCAUACUCAUCCAGCUCGGCCGGUGGCAACCGCAGCAGCGGCCACACGGCCACAACCACUCCGUCCCCGCGCGUGCUCCAGAACUCGCCGUUGCCCAAGCUUAAGCGCGAGACGCUGAGCUCACGUGUGCGGCACCUCGACUCACUUUCGCGCGCCCAACAAUCGCCCGAGCAGCAGCAGCACCACCACAACAACAGCAGCAGCAGUGGCAGUGGCAGCGGCAGCGGCAGUGGCAACGCCUCGCACAAAAGCAGCCAGCUGAGCACCAGCGGCAGUUCCAGCUCCAUUGCAGCACAGCUGAGUACAACGCUGCGCAAGGAUCUGCAACUGAAUGCCAGCUCGGCGCCAGCCUAUCAGCGACGGAGCGGCGGUGGUGCUGGCAGCGGUGGUGCGGCUGUGUCGCGCCGCUUCAGCAGCGCCUCGGUGGCCAGUGCGCGGCUGGCGCGUGAGCAGAGUAGCGAAGCAAACGCCACGCCCACGUCCAGCUAUGGCGACAGUGAUAGUGGCAAGGUACGCACUUUAAAGUCAACAUUUUUGGGUUGGUUCAAAUGAAUAAUAAUCUUAGUUACGAUAUUGAUACUGAUACUGAUAAUAAUGAUACAUAUACAUCAAUAUAUAUAUCUAUAUAUAUAUAUAUGCCUAUCGAUAACUGAUUACUGUCUUAAUAUGCCUUCGAUUACCAACAACACACCAACAACAACAAACAGCUACAAUAGAAACAACAACAACAACGAAGACACAACAAACACUUCAAUACCAGUUACAGUUAGCAAUAGAUCAACUGGCCGCAUACCUAAUUUAUAUACAUUCAUAAUAUAAUAGAUAUCAUCUGCGUUGUACACUUUCACAAUGGCGCGACAGCCUGAAGUAAACCCCAGUUUGUACAGAAUAUAUAAGCAUAUUCGGCUUUAUAUAUAGUGUCUUGAUCUCUGAAAGAGCAAAAAACCUGCGCGAAUUAGAAAACUGUUUUGCUUAAAGUAUUCUAAAAAUUCUAAAUUAAAACUCCAUGAGUAUAUUACUAGAAAAUCUAGAAAAAAUAUCUAGAGCCCGAAAAUAUUUCACUUCAAGUGAAAAUUGUAAAUUGAUUUAGAGUAUUAAAUAAAUCAUUAAUUGGUUCAAGCAACAAUUGAACAUAAUUCAAAUGCUUAAAAUUUAGGCGAGAAAUAUAUAAAAUUUAAAUUUUAGUCACAAUUUCAUUUUGUUCUCUGUUAUUUCAUGUUCUCUAUAAAGCUUUGAAGAUUUGGCAAUAUCGUUUUGCUGUUUUAAUUAGUUAAAAUUUGUAUUGUUUUUGAUCAACUAUAUAUAUUCUGUUGAAAAGGAAGAAACUACGCCAAAAACGAGUUCGAUUUGUUUUCGACUGGGGUUUAUUUCACGGCGCACAUAAUAACAUGCAUAUUUAUUUAUAAAUAAUACAUACGACAUGCCUAUGCAUACAACUAACCUACGAUGCAUACAAAACAUACAUUAUUUAUAUAUAAUACUAUAUACUAUAAAGAACCAUAUGUAUAUCUAACUAACGAUCGUUAGGUCAAUUGAUUGUGUACUCUCGUCGUGCCUAUGCGUAUGUGAAACGAAAAUGGAAAAAGGAACCAAGCAAAACCUUCUUGUCCACACCGUGCCUGACCUUAUCCAAUCCUUUCCUGCCUAGCCCCCCCCAUUCACAUACGUCUGCCGUGCUGAGGCAGCGUGUUAUCAGUUUUAUAAAAUUAAAUUGAGUAUUUUUUGUUUGUUGGUCAUUGACCAGAGUGAAGGGUGCCACCUCCACUGCCUUGCCUUGGAGCAGCUAUGCUAAUUAGUCGCCUCAUCUGCCGCUAUAAAUAAUCAAUUGCACGCGCCACAAACAGCAACAAAGAAAAUGUAUUCGCUUCUCUUUACAUUUUAUAAAUAUAUAUAUAUAUACAUUACUAUUACUAUUAUUAUUACGAUAAUUAUUAUUUUGUACAUACUCGUAAAAAGGAAUGCCCAUAUAAGUUUAUCAUUUACCAUAUGAAUCGUAUGCGCGAAAAAUCAUGUAAAUUGUUUAUCAUUAUAUCUACUACAUACAUACAUACAUACAUACAUACAUAUAUCGUUAUUAUUAGUUGUAUCCAUCAGGCAGCUAGUUACUCAGAUAGGUAUGCGUGUGUGUGUGUGAGUGUGAGUAUGUAUGUAUGGGCUAAGCAUUAACUGUAAUUAUCAUUAUAUUUUGCGUGUAUAUGUUUAAAACUGAUUACUGUUAUCUAUAUACUAUAAGUUGAUGUACGUACCACUUACUUACCCUUCUGGCCUAAUUUAAAUGCUAAUUCAUCAUUAUUUAUGAUCAUGGUCUAAUACAUAUAUACCACAUAUUAUGCAUAUAAACACAACAUACACAUACAUAUCUCUAUCUUUAGAAAUAUAAACAAAAAGAACUGCAUAAAUUUGAACUUUAAUUUUUACCAAAUACUUGCCCCCAAGCUCUCAAAUGCAUCUUGCCUAUCAUGUGUAUCAUCAUCAUAAGCAUCAUCAUAAUCAUUAUCAUCAUCAUCAUUGUUUGCCAUGUGUUUCAUUGUCAGCUUGGUCAGCGCUUAAAACUAACCAGACACAAACACAUACACACACGCAUACCGACACACACACACAUACAGAUAUCAUGGUCAAACUUGGCUAGAAAAUAAAAGUCAAGCUGUUUACACUAAAUAAUUGUAUCUAAUGCUGUAAUUUCUUUUUUACUUUUACUUUUUCUUUCUGCGCGUUUUCUCGCCCUAUGUAUGUCUACUCCACAUGUAAAAAAAAAAAAAUAUAUAUAUAUAUAUAUUAAAAAAUCAAAAACCGUAAACCCAACAAACAAAUGUGUAUACCCGUCUGUUGUUAUAAACUCACACGAUUUCCUAUUUUGUAUAUUCAAAAACUGCCCGUACCACAAAUAUCCUCAACAUAUAUACUAUAUAUAUAUACAUACUUAUAUAUGUCAUACCCACCCAACAACAAACCAAACCAAACCAAUCCAACCAACCAGCCUAUUGAAAACUGUAACUAAAAACAAUUGUGAAAGAAACUCUUCCUAACUGCAAUAUGCCUAACCGGAUAAACGUUGGAUAAACAUGUACAAUUAUAUAUGCAUAUGCAUAUGUAUAUAUAUAUAUAUACACAUCUAUAUACAUAUGGACAAUGGUGGUGUAUUGAUUGAUUGAUUGAUUGACGUUGGUGGUGAAAAUUUAAGCUGCAUGCUGCAAAUGAAAAUGCUAACAUAAAAGCAACAUUCCAAAAACACGUGCGUCACUCGGGAGGUUAUUUUGGUAACGGACAGCGAACAGGCGAUGCGAAUGUCAGGAUUCAUGUGCUCAGCUCCAAGUUGCUCCAAAUAGCAAGCUCCAAGCUACAAGCUACAAGCUACAAGCUCCAGUCUCAAAUACGCGCGAAGCGAGCUGAUUGAGCUAGUUGUGUUGUAAAUCGUUUGUCUGCUUUUCUGAUAGACAAAGAACUAAGACACUUUGCCGCAAUUUGUUAUACGCAGUUUGGUAAAUAACGAGAGUAAGCCAAAUUUCCGUUUCAAUAACAACAAUUGGCAGUUGUGGCAAACAAGCAACAACAA